CCCUUUCAUGUUAGAGCUACUGACAGUUUUAUGCAAUUGAAAAUAGCAUUUAAAGAACAUUUUAAUCUGUAGGGUAAACGAAACAUAGUAUUUUGUACUAGUGUUCUCUGGACUACGCUAUAAUCAGUACUGAUUUUAGUUUUUUUUAUCUUUUUAUCAUAGUUUGCAUGCUUUAUUACCUUGUAGUUUAGAAAUACAGGACAUGCGUUGAUAGCAGUAAUUUAUUACUGAAGCA